CCUACGGGUGGCAGCAGUGGGGAAUAUUGGACAAUGGGCGAAAGCCUGAUCCAGCCAUGCCGCGUGUGUGAAGAAGGCCUUCGGGUUGUAAAGCACUUUCAGUGGGGAAGAAAGCCUUGGGGCUAAUACCCUCGAGGAAGGACAUCACCCACAGAAGAAGCACCGGCUAACUCCGUGCCAGCAGCCGCGGUAAUACGGAGGGUGCGAGCGUUAAUCGGAAUUACUGGGCGUAAAGCGCGCGUAGGCGGUCUGAUAAGCCGGUUGUGAAAGCCCCGGGCUCAACCUGGGAACGGCAUCCGGAACUGUCAGGCUAGAGUGCAGGAGAGGAAGGUAGAAUUCCCGGUGUAGCGGUGAAAUGCGUAGAGAUCGGGAGGAAUACCAGUGGCGAAGGCGGCCUUCUGGACUGACACUGACGCUGAGGUGCGAAAGCGUGGGUAGCAAACAGGAUUAGAUACCCGGGUAGC
rnacentral:rRNA from 1 species